UACGUAGGUCCCGAGCGUUGUCCGGAUUUAUUGGGCGUAAAGCGAGCGCAGGUGGUUUAUUAAGUCUGGUGUAAAAGGCAGUGGCUCAACCAUUGUAUGCAUUGGAAACUGGUAGACUUGAGUGCAGGAGAGGAGAGUGGAAUUCCAUGUGUAGCGGUGAAAUGCGUAGAUAUUAGGAAGAACACCAGUGGCGAAGGCGGCUUUCUGGACUGAAACUGACGCUGAGGCCCGAAAGCGUGGGGAGCAAACAGG
rnacentral:rRNA from 1 species